rnacentral:rRNA from 1 species
AUGGAUGCUAAGGAAAAAAGAAGAAAGAGAGAUAGAGAGCGGUAUGCACGCAUGACAGAUGAAGUCUGGCAGGAGAAACUCAAAAAACGCCGUGAAGCCUAUCAUUGAAAGAAAGAUUCAGAAAAGAGACAAGAACAAAACGCAGCCAAAAGCGCACAAGAAAAACAAAAAUAUGCAAGUAUGCAACCAGAACAGAAGAAAGCAAGAAAGGAACAAAUUGUAGCUCGUCGUCAAUUGAAUCGCAGCACACCAUGCAAAGAUUCAAUUGCAAUGGAAAACCCUGAAUAUGUCGCAACCGAACAGGAGGUUGCGACUUCUGAAUCUACUGUCAAACACAGGUAUCAUGUGGCAGCAGGAAAAAGGCAAAAAUUACUACACCAUCGUAACAAAGAAUUCUCGAGAAGACGGAGGCAAACUGUUGACGUAUCAUCACAAGAAGAUGCAUCCAUCAUGGAAACCUGUGACAAAAACAAUCAAACUCUAGAGCAGCCACAAGUGAUGACUUACGGUAAUAAUCUCGAUUUUAUACUCGCAUUCCAAGUAAAUGUUAAUCCGUCUGUACAACUUACCACCUAUUCUGGACAGACAUCCCCUCCUCAAUGUUUCCAAGCAUCAGAGAAACCAAUGCACCAACACAAUCAUUAG